rnacentral:rRNA from 1 species
UACGAACUGUGCGAACGUUAUUCGGAAUCACUGGGCUUAAAGGGUGCGUAGGCGGCUGCCUAAGUCAGGUGUGAAAUCUCCCGGCUCAACCGGGAAACUGCGCUUGAUACUUGGGCGGCUCGAGUGAGGUAGGGGUGUGUGGAACUUCCGGUGGAGCGGUGAAAUGUGUAGAUAUCGGAAGGAACGCCAGCAGCGAAAGCGGCACACUGGGCCUUUUCUGACGCUGAGGCACGAAAGCCAGGGGAGCGAACGGG